CGGUUUUUUGCAAUUUGUAGGCAGGUAGUUUUCCCUGGCGCUUAAAUAAUGUAAACAAUAUGAAAUUUGAAAAUUUGAUAUUAAUGUAUUUUAGAAAAAACUUCCUAUCUAUAAAGAUGCAAUACAAAACGUUUGAAGCAUACUGCCAAAAAUCUGGACCACAUUAUCUGGUCACUACGGCCAUACGAAUAAGUAAAAAUAAAUAUAAUGGUAUAGUACAUAAUUGUAAAACAAACACGCAAUAGUUGCUUUGCUUCGAAUCUAAAAAAAUGAAAUAAAUAAUCGGUAUAUUUAACAAUCUAAACACAAUUCGAAACUUGCCAAUGCCCAAUUUAGCUCAAUGCACAAUGUUAAUUCUUCUUUUAUUAAUUACCAAACCAACUGUCUAGGAGGUUUUCAUUUUAUGCCUAAUGAUUAUAGAUAUGUAUAUAAGAACGUAUCUCAAAACAUUGUGCAAUUUUAGUCCUUGACUUUGACCCACAACGAUCAACAAUAACACAGUGCACUAGCGAUUAAUUUUAUUGUGAUUACCGUCUUCCUGUAAACAAAUAAUGUGGUGAAUUUGGCCUAACUACUAAUUAGAUGCACUUAUAGAUGUCGUAAAUUCCGUUGGUUAUAUACUUAUAUAAUAGGUUCUUAUAUUGUUAACAAUUUUAUCGUUGGUGAGUAAUAAGUUAUGAGCUUAAUAUUUUAAACCUGUGCAUUGCCAUUUAUUAUUUACCUCUAUAAAAACAUUUAAUUACCUUUUAAAAAUAGCAUUAAUAUAAGUGUGGUUAUGCGAUGUCCCAUCAGACUAUUACCGAUAACGGACAAAUAUUGUAGUCCCGCGAUUGAUUAUCUACAACUGUUAGAACAUUUUAUUGUUAUAUUUUAACUGUGCAUAUAUUAUGUAGGUAUGCCGUAUGCAUACUAUUAAGUACCAAACAGUAAACACUGAUUAUUAAUAUAAGAAACAAGAAUAUUUUAGUCACUAGUCAUCAUGUAGUCGUAGUGAAAUCGGAAAAGAAGUCUCCGGUGAAAUGCAUUCCCGUUAUCAAAGGCAUAUUCCGCAAGAUUUCAAGGGGCUAAUAGUUAUUCAAAGUGAGUAUGUGACUCCCGUUAACUUCGAUACACUUCUCCAUCCGAUGAUGUAAUGAACUCAAAGUUUUUUCCAAUAAAUUUGGUGUUUGACGAAUGAUAUCAGCUACAUUAUUAAUUCUCAUCAAAAUUUCAUCUCUAUUAUUUAAUUCUUUGGCAUAAAUAUGUUCUUUAUGUAUAUUCAAUGUUAGUGUACUCCAUUGUUCAAAAUUUAAAUUAUAAACUUUUAAAUCUUAAAAACGAAUUUUAAGUGUUGUUUUAUAUCAAGUAUUGAACUCAGCUAAUAUAGUCAAAUCAACUAAUGUUCUUUAUGUACAAAUUACGGUCAAUUAGUUAUUUUAUAAUAGAGAUUACGGAUAAAAGUUACCAUAUUGUAUUACCUCAUACCUGUACAUGAAAUCACACAAAUCAAUGUAUGUCAGUAAAUUCAAUCAUUUAAAACUUUGUUAACCCUAAUUUUGUUAUUAUUUUAUCAUUUUUAUUAGUCGACAAUGUAAACUAAUGCUUUAAUUAAUCAUGUAUUUUUAAUAACAAUAAAUAACUAUCACCACUGUUUAUCUUGUAUUGUUCUCGUACAAAUCGAUGUGCCACGCCAUUUUUUUUUUUAGUCGGCGAUUCGAGCUUGAAAAACGCGCGACAAGCGCGAAAAUGAUG